GACGAACGCUGGCGGCGUGCUUAACACAUGCAAGUCGAACGGUGAAGGGAUCAGCUUGCUGGUUCUGGAUGAGUGGCGAACGGGUGAGUAACACGUGAGUAACCUGCCCCCUUCUUCUGGAUAACCUCAUGAAAGUGUGGCUAAUACGGGAUAUUCUGCGCCUGCUGCAUGGUGGGUGUUGGAAAGAUAUUUUUUCGGUGGUGUAUGGGCUCGCGGUCUAUCAGCUUGUUGGUGGGGUGUUGGCCUACCAAGGCGGGGACGGGUAGCCGGCCUGAGAGGGUGGAAGGUCAGAAUGGGACUGGGACACGGCACAGAAUGCUAGGGGAGGGAGGAGUAGGGAAUAUUGCACAAGGGGCGAAAGCCGGAUGCAGCGACGCCGGGUGAGGGAGGGAGGCCUUCGGGUUGUGAACCUAUUUCGCAAGUGAAGCAGGCCUGUCCAGUGUGGGUGGGUUGACGGUAGCUGGAUAAGAAGCGCCGGCUAACUACGUG
rnacentral:rRNA from 1 species